GGCCGGUGAGACCAAGGGGAGGAGAGGUGGAAGAAGCAGGAUGGGCUAGGGCCCUGGGCCCUGGGGAAAAGGUGAAGAAGGCCCGAGGGUUAACCCCUGAAAGGCGGUAAUGGGUGGGGGUGGAGAGAAGAGGGCGUACUCCGCGCAUGCGCCAGAAGCAUACUGCGGCGGUCCCGGGGAGGCCGUGCUUUAACUGGCAUCCUCGCUGUGGCUGCAGGCGCCGCUGGUUCUCUUUCGCCUUUCCAGUUCUACCUUGGCCUGUGCAGCCACCCUAGAUCCGCGAACUUUGUGCCGCCGCUCCCUCUACCCUGUCUUGCGGCGGCCAGCGCUAAGAAUUCACGCUACGACACUCGGUUCAGCCAGGAGGUGACACCAGAUGUGGUCAGAAGCCAUGCCACUGGUGAAGAGGUAUAUUGAGCCCCGCCUGGCCCAGUGAGGUUACUAGAGAAUUGGGAGAGGCUUAGAUCAACAUCCUGCACAUGGUUAUCAAAUCAGUGUGAAGUCUUGAAAAUCACCUGGGAUGCCUGUUAAAAAUGCAGAUUCCUGGGCAGCCAGAAACCUUGUCAUUGGUCAAGAGCAACACUAAGACCUACCUGUCACGUAUAUUGAGGCUUCCUGCCCAGUGGGUUCAUCAGCAAGCCAGAACGAAUCACCAUUGCCAUGGAUGUCCUUGUGAGGCAGUUGGGAAGCCUUGGUUGAAUUGGGAAGGAUGUCUUUUGGAAAGUGUUUGAGAGAGUCUGCCAGCUCUUCCACACGAGUGAACAUGUAGCAGAAGAGGGGGUCCUCUCAGUGAUUAAG
ensembl:lncRNA